UUUUUUUUUGCCUUUU
rnacentral:sRNA from 1 species